AGAUUUGAUCAUGGCUCAGAUUGAACGCUGGCGGCAUGCCUUACACAUGCAAGUCGAACGGCAGCACGGGGGCAACCCUGGUGGCGAGUGGCGAACGGGUGAGUAAUACAUCGGAACGUGUCCAGUAGUGGGGGAUAGCCCGGCGAAAGCCGGAUUAAUACCGCAUACGAUCUUAGGAUGAAAGCGGGGGAUCUUCGGAC
rnacentral:rRNA from 1 species